GUGGGGAAUAUUGGACAAUGGGCGCAAGCCUGAUCCAGCCAUGCCGCGUGAGUGAUGAAGGCCCUAGGGUUGUAAAGCUCUUUCACCGGUGAAGAUAAUGACGGUAACCGGAGAAGAAGCCCCGGCUAACUUCGUGCCAGCAGCCGCGGUAAUACGAAGGGGGCUAGCGUUGUUCGGAAUUACUGGGCGUAAAGCGCACGUAGGCGGACAUUUAAGUCAGGGGUGAAAUCCCGGGGCUCAACCCCGGAACUGCCUUUGAUACUGGGUGUCUGGAGUAUGGAAGAGGUAAGUGGAAUUCCGAGUGUAGAGGUGAAAUUCGUAGAUAUUCGGAAGAACACCAGUGGCGAAGGCGACUGACUGGACAAGUAUUGACGCUGAGGUGCGAAAGCGUGGGGAGCAAACAGGAUUAGAAACCCGAGUAGUCC
rnacentral:rRNA from 1 species